UACGGGGGAGCAAGCGUUGUUCGGAUUUACUGGGCGUAAAGGGCGCGUAGGCGGCCACCGCAAGUCAAUUGUGAAAUCUCCGGGCUUAACUCGGAAAGGUCAACUGAUACUGCGGGGCUAGAGUGCGGAAGGGGCUACUGGAAUUCUCGGUGUAGCGGUGAAAUGCGUAGAUAUCAGGAGGAACACCGGUGGCGAAGGCGCUCAUCUGGCCCAAUACUGACGCUGGAGGCGCGAAAGCUAGGGGAGCGAACAGG
rnacentral:rRNA from 1 species